UACGUAGGCAGCGAGCGUUGUUCGGAGUUACUGGGCGUAAAGGGUGUGUAGGCGGUCUUCUAAGUUUGGUGUGAAAUCUCCCGGCUCAACUGGGAGGGUGCGCCGAAAACUGGGAGGCUAGAGUGCGGGAUGGGAGAGUGGAAUUCCUGGUGUGAGCGGUGAAAUGCGUAGAUAUCAGGAGGAACACCGUGUGGUGAUGAGACGGCUCGUCUGGACCGCAACUGACGCUGAGACACGAAAGCGUGGGUAGCAAACAGG
rnacentral:rRNA from 1 species